rnacentral:rRNA from 1 species
ACGCACGCUGGCGGCGUGCCUCAUACAUGCAAGUUGAGCGCUGAAGGUUGGUACUUGUACCAACUGGAUGAGCAGCGAACGGGUGAGUAACGCGUGGGGAAUCUGCCUUUGAGCGGGGGACAACAUUUGGAAACGAAUGCUAAUACCGCAUAAAAACUUUAAACACAAGUUUUAAGUUUGAAAGAUGCAAUUGCAUCACUCAAAGAUGAUCCCGCGUUGUAUUAGCUAGUUGGUGAGGUAAAGGCUCACUAAGGCGAUGAUACAUAGCCGACCUGAGAGGGUGAUCGGCCACAUUGGGACUGAGACACGGCCCAAACUCCUACGGGAGGCAGCAGUAGGGAAUCUUCGGCAAUGGACGAAAGUCUGACCGAGCAACGCCGCGUGAGUGAAGAAGGUUUUCGGAUCGUAAAACUCUGUUGGUAGAGAAGAACGUUGGUGAGAGUGGAAAGCUCAUCAAGUGACGGUAACUACCCAGAAAGGGACGGCUAACUACGUG